rnacentral:rRNA from 1 species
AAAGUUUGGUCAGGGCUCAGAUUGAACGCUGGCGGCAGGCCUAACACAUGCAAGUCGAGCGGUAGCACAGAGAGCUUGCUCUCGGGUGACGAGCGGCGGACGGGUGAGUAAUGUCUGGGAAACUGCCUGAUGGAGGGGGAUAACUACUGGAAACGGUAGCUAAUACCGCAUAACGUCGCAAGACCAAAGAGGGGGACCUUCGGGCCUCUUGCCAUCAGAUGUGCCCAGAUGGGAUUAGCUAGUAGGUGGGGUAAUGGCUCACCUAGGCGACGAUCCCUAGCUGGUCUGAGAGGAUGACCAGCCACACUGGAACUGAGACACGGUCCAGACUCCUACGGGAGGCAGCAGUGGGGAAUAUUGCACAAUGGGCGCAAGCCUGAUGCAGCCAUGCCGCGUGUAUGAAGAAGGCCUUCGGGUUGUAAAGUACUUUCAGCGAGGAGGAAGGCAUUGAGGUUAAUAACCUCAGUGAUUGACGUUACUCGCAGAAGAAGCACCGGCUAACUCCGUGCCAGCAGCCGCGGUAAUACGGAGGGUGCAAGCGUUAAUCGGAAUUACUGGGCGUAAAGCGCACGCAGGCGGUCUGUCAAGUCGGAUGUGAAAUCCCCGGGCUCAACCUGGGAACUGCAUUCGAAACUGGCAGGCUAGAGUCUUGUAGAGGGGGGUAGAAUUCCAGGUGUAGCGGUGAAAUGCGUAGAGAUCUGGAGGUAUAC